AUACGGAGGAUGCAAGCGUUAUCCGGAUUUAUUGGGUUUAAAGGGUGCGUAGGCGGAUUAAUAAGUCAGUGGUGAAAGUUUAUCGCUUAACGGUAAAAUUGCCAUUGAUACUGUUAGUCUUGAGUGUAUUUGAGGUAGGCGGAAUGUGUAGUGUAGCGGUGAAAUGCUUAGAUAUUACACAGAACACCGAUUGCGAAGGCAGCUUACUAAGAUACAACUGACGCUGAGGCACGAAAGUGUGGGGAUC
rnacentral:rRNA from 1 species